rnacentral:tRNA from 1 species
GGCGCUGUAGUGUAGUGGUUAUCACUCAAGAUUCUGAUUCUGGAGGAUUGUCUAGGUCACAUGACUUCUUGUAACCCCGGUUCGAAUCCGGGCAGUGCCU